GACGAACCGAGCGAACGUUGUUCGGAAUCACUGGGCUUAAAGGGUGCGUAGGCGGGCUGCCAAGUUUGAGGUGAAAUCCUCCGGCUCAACCGGGGAAGUGCCUUGAAUACUGGCGGUCUGGAGGGAGGUAGGGGCGUGCGGAACUAACGGUGGAGCGGUGAAAUGCGUUGAUAUCGUUAGGAACUCCGGUGGCGAAGGCGGCACGCUAGACCUCUUCUGACGCUGAGGCACGAAAGCCAGGGGAGCGAACGGG
rnacentral:rRNA from 1 species